GGUGAACGCUCGCGGCAGGCCUAAUACAUGCAAGUCGAACGAGAUUAAGAGGCUUGCUUCUUAUGAAAGUGGCGCACGGGUGCGUAACGCGUAUGCAACCUACCUUAAUCAGGGGGAUAGCCCGAAGAAAUUCGGAUUAAGACCGCAUAAAAACACAGGAUAGCAUUAUCCAAUGUUCAAAUAUUUAUAGGAUUAAGAUGGGCAUGCGUGUCAUUAGCUAGUUGGCGGGGUAACGGCCCACCAAGGCGACGAUGACUAGGGGAUCUGAGAGGAUGACCCCCCACACUGGUACUGAGACACGGACCAGACUCCUACGGGAGGCAGCAGUAAGGAAUAUUGGUCAAUGGAGGGAACUCUGAACCAGCCAUGCCGCGUGCAGGAAGACAGCCCUCUGGGUCGUAAACUGCUUUUAUUCGGGAAUAAACCUUUCUACGUGUAGGAAGCUGAAUGUACCGAAGGAAUAAGGAUCGGCUAACUCCGUG
rnacentral:rRNA from 1 species